UCGUCUUCCUCNNCGGGGGUUGGCGUGCCCGAAAGAUAUUGGCUGGUGCUGCCUGAAGAGCAACGGAUUGACUUAUCUAAUCGUUGAACUCUAGGGAAGUGCGCCUAGGCUAGACAACCUCAACUUCUAUCAAGUUUAACCUCGGAUCAGGUAGGGAUACCCGCUGAACUUAAGCAUAUCAAUAAGCGGAGGAAAAGAAACCAACAGGGAUUGCCUCAGUAACGGCGAGUGAAGCGGCAACAGCUCAAANNGAAAUCUGGGUCUCUUGAGGCUCCGAAUUGUAAUUUGUAGAGGAUGUUUCGGGUGCGAUCUCAGUCUAAGUUUCUUGGAACAGUACGUCAUAGAGGGUGAGAGUCCCGUAUGCGACUGGCGAUCAACCCCAUCAGAAACUCCUUCGACGAGUCGAGUUGUUUGGGAAUGCAGCUCAAAAUGGGUGGUACAAUGCAUCUAAAGCUAAAUAUUGGCCAGAGACCGAUAGCGCACAAGUAGAGUGAUCGAAAGAUGAAAAGCACUUUGGAAAGAGAGUUAAAAAGUACGUGAAAUUGUUGAAAGGGAAGCGCUUGGAAUCAGACUUGCUUGCGGUUGAUCAACCGGUGUUCUCACCGGUGCACUCUGCCACAAUCAGCACUGCAUCGGUUUGGGUGGUUGGGCAAAGGCUCUAGGAAUGUAGUUUCUCUCGGGAAAUGUUAUAGCCUAGGGUGUAAUGCAGCCAACCUGGACCGAGGACCGCGCUUCGGCUAGGAUGCAGUGGUAAUGGUUCCAAGCGACC
rnacentral:rRNA from 1 species